AGAUAAGAAAAAAUGACAGAGUAUGCCCAUGAAGCCACGAGAUUUCUGGAUAAAACAACUGAGUCCCCCCACAUGAGCUGGAGCAGAAGGCAGCACAGAAAAAGAUACCAAUUGUGGAAAAAGUGACCAACUAUGAGAGUGAGGUUGGGAAAGGUGGAGAGAAAUCAGUUAAGGAAAAAUUCCAGAUGUUGUCUAAGGAGACAAUGAAGAUAUUCCUCCUUCAGGGACACUGAAUACAUUAAGGCAAUAGAAAGAUUUUGGGAAUACAGAGUUAGGUAAGAUAAUCUGUUUCUGUUUUUACGAUGUUUAUUAGCUUUUUCAUUAUAAAGGUAAUACUCAUUGCUCAUUAUGAAAGUUAAAGGAAAAAGGAAAACACAAGUCAUCUAUGGUUCUAGUGCCCAGAGUUUAUCAUCAAUCAGGUAUAUUCCUGCCAGGUUUGUUUUUGUUUGUUUAUGAGUGUUUGUAAGUAUACAGUUUAUGGAUUUUUUAUAUUUGCUUUUUUUUAUUUCACAAAAGAUAAUAUCCCAUAUUUAAAAGUGUCUUUGCAAGCAUUUUGUGGGUUCCAAAAUAUUUCAUGGAAUAAAUAUACUCUUUUAUUUUACUAUUCCCCUUUAACCAUUAUAUAAUUGUCUCAAAUAUUUCUGCUAUUAUAAUUCUGUGAUGAACAUCUUUGUGCACUUUAGAAAUGUUU
rnacentral:lncRNA from 1 species